GAUGAACGCUGGCGGCGUGCCUAAUACAUGCAAGUCGAGCGGACAGAUGAGGAGCUUGCUCCUCUGACGUUAGCGGCGGACGGGUGAGUAACACGUGGAUAACCUACCUAUAAGACUGGGAUAACUUCGGGAAACCGGAGCUAAUACCGGAUAAUAUACUGAACCGCAUGGUUCAAUAGUGAAAGACGGUUUUGCUGUCACUUAUAGAUGGAUCCGCGCCGCAUUAGCUAGUUGGUAAGGUAACGGCUUACCAAGGCAACGAUGCGUAGCCGACCUGAGAGGGUGAUCGGCCACACUGGAACUGAGACACGGUCCAGACUCCUACGGGAGGCAGCAGUAGGGAAUCUUCCGCAAUGGGCGAAAGCCUGACGGAGCAACGCCGCGUGAGUGAUGAAGGUCUUCGGAUCGUAAAACUCUGUUAUUAGGGAAGAACAAAUGUGUAAGUAACUAUGCACGUCUUGACGGUACCUAAUCAGAAAGCCACGGCUAACUACGUG
rnacentral:rRNA from 1 species